CAACGCUGGAAAACACCUUAGGCCUCAACAGAGGCCGAACUCUGGCUGACGGAUGGGGAAACUGAGGCCUCAAAGGGAAAGCAACUUGCUCAAGUUCACUCAGCAAGUGAAUAGAGCAGGAAUCGGGGGUCUCAUCUCCCCCAGUCCCCUUUUCUCUCCAGCAAGGAGGCUUUUCAACGAGAAUUCUGAGACAAGAGGACAGGGGAGAGGCCAAGGGGCAGCUCACAGAUUCCACCGAGGAGUCGGGAGAGGGCACAGAAGCAAGAGGAACCUAAUACUCUUCCUCAUUGGCCUUCCUGUCUCCAUCUUUAUUCCUUCCAGCUCAUUCUCUACAUGACACUGUGAAUGCCAAACUGUCUGGAGGCUGCCAUGAGCGGCCAAUUUGUGAUCUCUGCUUUACCUGAAUUAUUUCCGUGAAUUGUGACAUCAACCUCGCCAGAUAAGAAAGAAGACUGAAGUUCAGAGAGGUGAAGGGACUGGCUCAGGGGCUACCCCUAUGGUUGCGGGAGCUAAGAUUCCAGCCCAGCAGCGUGAUCCAGAGCCCAUCUGAGCUACCCAGAUCUUCCUGCUGUUAAACCCGUCCUGGGGCAGCUCUUGCCUGAUGGGCUACCUGAGGAACCCACAGGAAAUCAAGGGAGGUGCCUGCAAAGUUGCCGUGGGGUCACAGCCUGCCCUUUGGAAGGGGCUGUUUCUGGGCUGCUGUGACUUCCUGCCAUUAUUUCCUCUCUGUUCUCCCUCUGGAAUGAAUAAAGUACUUCUGAAAAACCAUCAACCCAGUCGAUACGGAAAUGCUGGUCCCUACAAUAGAAUGCUCUGUGGUCAUUAAAAAGAUUAAAAAGGUCAAUCUGUGUUUCCUGAUCUGGAAAGAUCUCCUGGACAUACUGCUAGUGGGGAAAGAAAGCAGUAGAACAGCUUAACACAAUCUCGUCUUUCUUAGAAAAAAAUAUAAUCCCUACUGGAUAUGUAAGCUCCAACAAAAAAAAAAGAAAGAAAAAAUACAACCUGCACACCCCAAAAAAGCCCUGGCCAUGUGUCUCUGUAAAUAAACUGAAGAUGCAGGAAGAAAGAUGGGGAGGUGUAGGGAAAGGACAGACCAAAGUGUCAGUGGCAACUACAACUUGAAGGGGAAAUUUAACAUUUUACUUUAUGUACUCCUAUAUUGUUUCCAUUUUUAUAAUAACCAUGUAUUAUUUGUGUGGUUUUUUUUGUUUUGUUUUGUUUCGUUUUUUGUAUUUUUUUUUUUUUUUUUGAAACAGAGUCUUGCUCUGUUGCCCAGGCUGGAGUGCAGUGGUUUGAUCUUGGCUCACUGCAACCUCCAUCUCCUGGGUUCAGGCAAUUCUCCUGCCUCAGCCUCCUGAGUAGCUGGGAUCACAGGUGCGUACCACCACACCCGGCUAAUUUUUGUAUUUUUAGUAGAGACGGGGUUUCAUCACGUUGGCCAGGCUGGUCUCAAACUCUUGACCUAGGUGCUCCACCCACCUUCACCUUCCAAAGUGCUGAGAUUACAGGCAUGAGCCACCGCGCCUGGCAGCAUGUAUUACUUUUGAAUAAUAAUUUUUAAAAGCCAUAAAGAGCAAUUUGGUAAUAUCAAACUUACAAUGCAUUACUUCUUUUCCCUUCUUUAUUGUGGAGAAAUAUACAUAACAGAAAAUUGACCAUCUUAAGCUUCUUUUAAGUGUAUAGUUCAGUGGCAUAAGUACAUUUGCACCAUCAUGCAACCAUCACCAUCAUCUGUCUCUAGAAUUUUUUCAUCAUCCCAAACUGAAACUCAGUAUUACACAUGCAUUUUAAC
rnacentral:lncRNA from 1 species